CAGCAACUCCUGUGGAAGGUCCAGCAGCCCAGGUGUGGUCCCUCAACUCCCUCCCACCAGCCCCGACCUGAAGCUGCCGAAGGAGUGAAGAGUACCGCAGACACCAUAAUUGCAGACUGAACAUUGGCUCUUCUUGGGUCUCAAGACUGCCAGCUUUUGAAUUGGAACAUUAACCAUCAAUUCUGGUGCUCAGGCUUUUGGACUCACCCUGGGACUACACAUCAGUUCUCCUGGGUCUCCAGUUUGCUGACUAUACUCAACUUCUCAGCUUCCAUAAUUAUGUUGAGAUUUGACUGUUCUAGAAAACAACAGCUUGUCCUGUGGAGAAUUCUGAGUACAUGCGGAUGGAAAAUCAGAGGCUAAAUACCAAAAGAAAAAGGAGCUAUUUUCCUGUGAGACAGAAAGCAGUGGUGAAGAGGGUGGAGCUGGAGGAACAAUAGCUGGACCAAAGGGCAAGACUUACAAUCCACCAGGAAGAUGUAGCCAUCAUAGGAUUUAUGUGCUGAGAAACAUAGCUAAAAAUUAUAUGAAGUCAAACUACUAGAAAUAUAAUUGAACAAAAUAAUAAAUUUAAAAAUUUCAGUAAACAACAUAGAAUUUUUUUCAAAAUACUCAUAGAAUAUGUUAGCUGAAAAAAAUCAAUACAAUGCAAGAAAAUGUAUAUGUGCUAUAAGAAUGGAAGACAAUAGACUAAAGUUUGAAAUUAAAAGCAAAAAUAGCCAAAAUGAAAAAAAUGUCUUGAAAAUAAAAAUACUUUUCCCAAUUAUUGGUGUUAAAGGUGAAAUCAAACUGAAAUUACAGAUUGUUUAGAAACAAAUUUCACUACAUAUCAAAUUGCAUAUUAAAAUUAUACUCAGAAGAAGUUUUAUAGCACUGUAUGCUUUUUUAAUUAAAAAACAUCUAAGUGGAAUUUGCACUCACCUCAGGAAUCUAGGAAAACAACAAAAUGAACCAAAUAAAAAAAUAAAGAAUUGAAACUAACAUAGUUUGUGGUCACUAUGGAAAAUAAAACCAGAUCUAAGUAGACUUGUUUUAUCUAUGGAACAAUACAGAGAACAAGCAAAAAUAAGUCAGUUACUUGCCCUAGGAAAUUUUUACUCUUCAAAGACAAGACUUUGAAAUAACUUUUUAAUCAAGACUAAUAGUUUUUAUCAAGACUACAAUAGCUUUAAUCAAGACUAAUUCAACAAUACUGAUUUCAAGACACUCAUUUCAUGGGGCCCAUCAAUCCAAAACUUUUAUUUUUUAAACUCUGUCAAAUCCUAACCAGUUUCCCUCCUGACUAGGCUCAUAUUAAAAUCAUUCAGUUCAGGCACUGAAACCUAAUGAAUAUCUUUCUCCCUUUAACUUUACCUCUCAGUCUUUACUGCAUAAGGUCUAAUAAACAGCU